AGUCCUGGAGGAGACGAGGUACUGUGGACUGGAGUCCUGGAGGAGACGAGGUACUGUGGACUGUGUGAGGCUAAAGAUCAGAGCUGCUACUCCCUCGAGACAGUGAGAAAGUGAACCAGGUAGGAAAGAGAGCGAGAACGAGCGCGCACACAGAGGGGAGGAGUGGGGCAGAUGAGGUAACAACGUUAUCUGAAGUGGCUGAAUAGUGAACACAAGCCUGAUGGAAAAUAACUCCACCCGUUGGUCAAUCACUAGUUCCAGUGUAAUUGCAUCAUCACUGUGUGACGACGAAUCACAGUAUAAAAGUAAGCAGGAAAUUCCACUCACAACAGGGGCAUUUCACAAAUGACAUUGAGCCCUGGUCAAAUGUAGUGUACUACCGUAUCUAGGGAACAUGGUGUCAUUUGGGACACAGGCCUGAAGACUCUGAUUCCCAUCAAUAGACCAGAGACCUCUGACUCACUAAAGGGUUUUAAAGUGAAGAGGUGGAGGGGUGUGAAUAUCCUGUGUUCGUGUGUGUGUGUGUGUUGAGGGGAAAUUGUGGCUGUGGUGGUUACAGACUGAAACAACGCAAAGAGGAUUCGCCAUGAGUCCAAAACACUGGAUACGGAGACCGAGGCCGGGACUCUGCACACCCAAGCUGAGGGGACGCGGCACCUGGGAGAGAGACUGCAGCAUAUCCACUUCUGGAAUCGGAGCUGCAGCGGCACAUCGAGAAGCUGGUGGCCGAGACAGACCUCCUCCUGGGACAGAAGAGGAGGCUGUUGAAGGCGCUGGACGCCACUAAGAUCCCGUUUGCCAUCGCCACGGAUAACCUAACCUGUCGGGAACUGCGACCGCGUAGAGGAGGAGCUGCUGAUGAUACAAAAAUAACACAGACUUGUCUUUGCUCUAGUUCACCGAAAUACUUGUAUCAUUAUUACAUGUUGCCUAUACAUUAUUUCACUAGAAACCAAUCUGAAAAUAAGGUGAUGGUUGUGUUUGUGUACCGCAGGAGGUGGAGUUAAUCAGGAGCAUCCAGGCUCUGUUGAAGAGAACGCUGAGUCAGGCUGUCAAUCAAAUCAAGAACAGAACGUACAUAAACCAAAAAUCAACUCGCUGAUGGGACGUUCCAUUAUAAGGAGAGUGGCCAGCUCCAAGG